rnacentral:rRNA from 1 species
UACGGAGGGUGCAAGCGUUAUCCGGAUUCACUGGGUUUAGAGGGUGCGUAGGUGGGUUGGUAAGUCAGUGGUGAAAUCCCCGAGCUUAACUUGGGAACUGCCAUUGAUACUAUCAGUCUUGAAUAUUGUGGAGGUUAGCGGAAUAUGUCAUGUAGCGGUGAAAUGCUUAGAUAUGACAUAGAACACCAAUUGCGAAGGCAGCUGGCUACACAUAUAUUGACACUGAGGCACGAAAGCGUGGGGAUCAAACAGG